AAAAGAAAAAAAGAAGAGCAACAUAAUAAACAACAUCAUGAUGAUCUAUGUGAAUAUGACAGUAAAUACUAAAUAUUAAACAUUAUUGUGCAGCACGUAAGAUCAACAGCACACAGUGUGCUUUGAGGUAGGAGCCAAAAAGGGUGUAGUUUGUGGGUGUGAUCACCCGUGUGUACACCUGUGAGCAUGGACGCGCUUGUUUUUAAAAGGUUCCUUCAUGUAAUGAUCUGCUAGAGGGUGUGGGGGGGCCACAGCCCCGUCCUCCAGGGCAUGAAGCAGGUAUGGAGGAGAUCAAAACUCCAGACAUCCAGAGGCCCCCAGAACACAAGAGACCAAGGAAGACCAACAGAGGGGCAGCCGCGCCACUGUCCCGGAAAGAGCUGAGGAGAGUCCCAGAUGAGGGCUCACUCAGCAGCCGCGGAGCAGAAGCCAGGGGGAGUUGCAGUGACGCGCCCGUGAGCUCCGCCGGCAGCCAGCCGUGCCUGAGUGACCGAGCCCCAGGCCGAGAGGCCGGGGGCACCCCACCUCCGAAGUGGCCCGAGCGAGCCCCAGGCUCCAGGCCCCGAUAAGCGGCCGCCAAGGAGUGAGCCGGUGUGUACCUGGACGCCCAUCCCCAGACACAAAG
ensembl:lncRNA